UAAGGUAAAUUAAUAAGAAGUGUAACUUAAUAAUUUGUUUUAUAUUUUAGUUCAUUAAGGAUAAGCUUAAUAAAAGGUACAGGAAAGAAUAUCCACUUUAAAUUGGCUACUUAGGCUUGAAAUUAGCCAUCAUAGCAGAACUUGUUAUAGGGCAGUCCUUUUGAAAAAGAAAAUUUUUAUAUUUUUCUUUCUGUAUUACAAUAAGGGUAAUGGAUUAAAUUAAUAAGUCCAAUUUAUUUAUGCUAAAAUGAGUAUUAUAAACUAACAUACGUGGUGAAUAAAUAUUGAAAAUAUUCAUAGCAACAUGUAAUUUUAAAAUUAAAGUGAAAGGAAGGAACUCGGCAAAUUUUAGCUUCGCCUGUUUAUCAAAAACAUGGCUCUUUGUUAUUUUAAUAUAGGGAGUCAAACCUGCCCAGUGAAAUUUUUCAACGGCCGCGGUACCCUGACCGUGCAAAGGUAGCGUAAUCAUUUGCCUUAUAAUUGAAGGCUUGCAUGAAUGGUUUAACGAGAGCACUGCUGUCUCCCGCUCAAUAAAUAGAACUUGACUUUUAGGUGAAGAGGCCUAAAUAUAAUUGAAAGACAAAAAGACCCUGUCGAGCUUGAAAGCUAAGUUAGGGACGAAUAUAAAAUAUUUUAAAUUUAUUACUAACUAUGCUUUUUGGUUGGGGCGACCAAGGAACAAUAGAAGCUUCUUUUAUUUGUGUUAACUUAUAAGUAAGGAUCCAGCCUAAAGCUGAUUAAAAGAAUUAGUUACCGCAGGGAUAACAGCAUAAUCUCUCUUGAGAGACCAAAUCGAAAGAGGGGGUUGUGACCUCGAUGUUGGACUAGAAUAUCCUAAAGAUGCAGAAGUCUUUGAGGGUUGGUCCGUUCGACCA
rnacentral:rRNA from 1 species